UGUCUGCGAUGAUGAUUUAAUGAAUCCAAUCACAUGUCAGACUUCAGAGAUUCAUUCUAAGGAAGGGAUCAAUGAGAUUGCAUAUCAUCAGUCUGAGCAGAUA